ACGAACGCUGGCGGCAUGCCUAACACAUGCAAGUCGAACGAGACCUUCGGGUCUAGUGGCGCACGGGUGCGUAACGCGUGGGAACCUGCCCUUAGGUUCGGAAUAACUCCCCGAAAGGGGUGCUAAUACCGGAUAAUGUCUUCGGACCAAAGAUUUAUCGCCUUUGGGUGGGCCCGCGUUGGAUUAGCUAGUUGGUAGGGUAAAAGCCUACCAAGGCGACGAUCCAUAGCUGGUCUGAGAGGAUGAUCAGCCACACUGGGACUGAGACACGGCCCAGACUCCUACGGGAGGCAGCAGUGGGGAAUAUUGGACAAUGGGCGAAAGCCUGAUCCAGCAAUGCCGCGUGAGUGAUGAAGGCCUUAGGGUUGUAAAGCUCUUUUACCCGGGAUGAUAAUGACAGUACCGGGAGAAUAAGCUCCGGCUAACUCCGUG
rnacentral:rRNA from 1 species